rnacentral:sRNA from 1 species
AAAAUGCAGCGAUUCAUAUGAGCGGCAACUUAUAUUCCACCAGACGAGACUCAACUUGGAACUCUCGAGGCUUUGCUAAUGUUUGGGCGCUCAAAUGAAGUAUUAAGAUAUCUUAUCAGCUUCAAAUGUAUGAUAGUGCAAAACCGCAGAAAGUAAUAUAAAAAAAUAUAUAAUUAAAAAGCAUUAUGGCGAUAAGAUGGCGAAUCCCCAAAAGCGAUGACGCCAUACUAUGGUAAAAAAAAGAUGAGUAAAUAUAUCAAGUAUUUCCCAAAGGAAAUGAAACAAUAUUAAGAAUCAACAGAAUAGUGGAACUUUAAAAUAAUGAAUUCAAAUUUUAUGUUUAAAGUUGUCCACUUAUUUAUGAUGGAUUAUUAUGAGAAACAAAACUUAAAGAUAUAAUAAAUCAAAUCACAUUAGGGUAUUUCCUGCGGAAUAUUAAUUUGAUAAUAAUGGUAGAAUGUUGUAUACUAUCUAUUAAGUCAAGUGGCA